rnacentral:rRNA from 1 species
GUGGAUUAGAUACCCUGGUAGUCCACGCCGUAAACGAUGGGUACUAGGUGCCUGGGGGAGCGACCCCUUGGGUGCCGGCGCUAACGCAGGAAGUACCCCGCCUGGGGAGUACGGCCGCAAGUCUGAAACUCAAAGGAAUUGACGGGGGCACGCACAAGCGGUGGAGCAUGUGGUUUAAUUCGACGCAACGCGAAGAACCUUACCUAGGCUUGACAUGCAUGGGAAACUCCUGAGAAACCAGGAGCCUCCUUCGGGAUCCAUGCACAGGUGCUGCACGGCCGUCGCCAACU